AUUUAAGUAGCUUAUAAUUAGAGUAUGAUAUUGAAGAUAUCAGGGAAAUAAAUUUUAUUCUUAAAUA
rnacentral:tRNA from 1 species